UAAAAAUUUCAUAAUUGUUUUUUUUAAAUAGCAUGGAGUAAUCAUGAAUUGUCAUGUGGGCAUCUGUGUAAAAGUUUAAUGUUUUUAUCUCGUAUUUCAAUUUAAAACAACAAUUUGAUUUUUUUAAAAGUUGAUAGUCAAAUUAAACUCUUUUAAAAGGUUAAGAAUCAAAAUUUAACAAAAUAAAAAUAAAAAUUAAAUUGACAAAAAUAUAAAAAUUAACGACUUUAUGCAAAGUUUAAAUCAUUAGUUUAUUAGCAAAAAUCUAAUAGGAUGGUAUCAAGCAUAACAAAUCUAAAAGACAAGGGACGAAUGAAAAGAAAAGAAAGCGAUAAUAAUAAUCUAAAAAAUAUUGUUGGUUUUCAAUAAUAGAAGACUUGAAAUUUACUAAGAAAGAAGUUUGGGUAUUGGUAAUGAUGAGCAUUGGAAGCAUUAUGGAUUAUGGUUAUGAUUUUGAUGAAGGCAUGUGAUAUAUGUAGGGAUGCAUGGAGCUGUUGUUGUGGAAAGGGAAAGAAGAUAGAGGAAAAGUGAGACAGAUUCUGAGUUGAAAUUAAAAUGUUUGGCAAUGGUUGAUGUGCACAUAUAAUGUGUAAUGGUGUAUAUGAAGGAUGAUUAAGAGGUUGACUAUUUCAUUGAUGAAGGUUAAGACUGUUUCAUUGAUGAAGGUUAAGGACUAGAACGAUUUGGUUAGCAUUAGAGCGGUGUGGUUCUGUCGUUACUCGUUUAGCAGAUUUGUUAGCAGCGAAUUGUGGGAGUGGUGACCUAUCUCGUUUGGAUCCGUAGUUGGGGGUUGCUCAGUUUUGAAGGUGUUGGGGAUCUCGGAAUUGUUUUACAUCUCAAACAAACCAGGUGUGUAAUCACAUCACUGAAAACGUUAGUCGGAAAAAAAAGCCAAAAAAUAGGAUUGAUGACGCCACACGAGCGUGGGACCGCUCGUGUGAUAGACCGUGUGAUUGAACAUGGGCAUGUGAUCGACAAGGCUAGCCAUGUGCAAUUCAUGGGCCGGGUCGAAUUGGGUCGUAUGGGGCCCACAUGCCCAUGUGGCCCAUACGGGUGAACCACAUAGGCAUGUGGAAAUAUUGGGCCAAGCCGUGUGGGCCACACGGACGUGUGGGCUCACAUGGGCAUUCAACAUGGGUCGUGGGCUCAUUUUCACUGUUUGACUGCUAUUGUUGCACGGGUCACCGGAGUCGACUGUGGACCUACUGUAGGGUUGGUAAUCCCCAGACUUAGGCAGAUCGGAGUGGUGGAGGACUCAGCUAUGGCAACACGACUCCUUUUUAUUGUUUCGUAUUUAAUUAGGUUUGUUUUUUUAAUGCUUUAUUUGUAGUAUUUUUCUUUAUUAAUGGUCGCUAUGAGUUUUUACGUAAAAUUUAGAUUUAAUACUGCUUUAUGUUUUGUAUCUGCUAGAGGUAGAUAAAAUAUGGGUUUUUAAAAUAAAUGCAUGUGUUUUAGCAAAAUACCCACAAGAACACAAACUAUUUUAAAAAGCUUCCGUAAUGUAUAACAUUUUGCAAACUAACGACUGAAUAAAAAUCACUAUUUUAGGAUUAAUAAAAGAUAACGAUGAGAUCUAAACAAAAAAUAUUUUAAGAAAAGUUACGGUUUUUCAACACGAGCAUUGGUUUUCAAAC